rnacentral:lncRNA from 1 species
GUGACCUCUGUAAUUGGUCUGGCUGCCGCAUAGUCGCUUUCGCUGGAAGUCACGAGACUUUGCUGGAAGUCACGAGACUUUGCUGGAAGUCAGGAGACUUUGCUGGAAGGGAAGCUUUCCUCCCUCAAUAUGGAGGGCUCUGAGCUUCACAGGCAACUGCAAGGAUCUGGCAUGUGGCACACAGCAAUGCUUCUAUAGGCCAGGAAUCCCACCUUCAGGGAACCCAAACAGAAGAAGAAUCCCAAGCACUGACACUGUAGAGCAGAGCAAGGCAUCAGCUGCAAGCUCAGCACAGCCACUGCAGCGAGAGGUCUUGGUGGAAGCGACAGAGCUGACCUGGCUGACUCGUGCAGGCAAUGAACAUGGGGACAGGUGCAGAACUAAUCAGUCGGAAGGCUGGAGAACCGCAUGGGGAAAAUGGGGACUUGAUUUUCUACAAGUGGUACUCCAAGAGGCUCCUACACUUCAGCAGGGAGGUGAGCACCGUUUUGCGGUGGCCGGGCUGGCGAGGAGGUGCAGACCCCAGCCAGCUGGAGGGGCUCUGCCCUGGUGGCAUUCCCACUCCCACCUAUUCGCAGGGCGCCGGGGAGGGCUGCAGGUGUUCUAUUGCCACCCGGCUUGCAGCGCAAGGAGGGGAAUCGCCUGGCCUUCCCCUUCUCCCCUGCCCCGCUUCCUUUCUCUGCUCCCACAGGUGGAAGUCACCAGCGGAAACAACCCUUCACCAUUUGGAGGGCUGGGAGAGAGGGGCCACGAGGGCCCCGGGAGAGCCACCCGGGCUGCAGGCAAGGGGCGGGGCAGGGACCGAAGGGUGA